AGGCGGAGACACAAGGCUCCGUUCCACUGGGCACGCCAGCGGGUAGGGGUGGGGGCGGGGAGGUGCGCGCGCAGCGUGGGAGGAGGCCAACUCUCGGGGCGCUCCCUAGCCCUGGGUGGGUGGAGCGGGGGAAGCGGAGUACGUUGGACCCGGCUCCGCCCUACCCCACGGGGCCGCCUGGAGAGGUGCUGGGAGCUGGGUGGAGCUUAGAGGAAUUAAACUUUGGCCCUGCGCCUCGUCCAGCCUAGGUUCCACCCUUUUCUGGGAACUUUACACCCCGCCACUCCUGAGCACCGCACACCGGCUUCCUCCCAGUCCCUCAUCUGAGAACUCAUGAAGCCACUUGGAAUCCCUCUCUGCUUUGCCUGGCUCAUUCCAUGUCAAUUUCAGAUCUUCACUUCAGGUCAGCUCCAAGGAGGCUAUCCUUGCCCAUCUUCCUAAAAUAGAGCUCUCAAAACCUGGCUGUUUUCCUUCAGAGCACUGGCCUCCAAUUGCUCCGGUAGAUUGCAAAUGACCUGCUUUCUUUCUGUUCCCGGGCGUUUGGACCCCUGUCUUGGACCGCUGUCGGAUAGUAAAUCCCAAGUAAGGUACCUGCCGUCGGCAGAUUUGAGCUUUCUUCUUGGACACCUAAUACCCAGAGUCCUCCAGGCUCCGGUAGAUUGCAAAUGACCUGCUUUCUUUCUGUUCCCGGGCGGCAUCGGACCCGUCGGAGAGUAAAUCCCAAGUAAGGUACCUGCCGUUGGCAGAUUUGAGCUUUCUUCUUGGACACCUAAUACCCACAGUCCUCCAGGCUCCGGUAGAUUGCAAAUGACCUGCUUUCUUUCUGUUCCCGGGUGGCAUCGACCCGUCGGAGAGUAAAUCCCAAGUAAGGUACCUGCCGUUGGCAGAUUUGAGCUUUCUUCUUGGACACCUAAUACCCACAGUCCUCCAGUAAAUCCCAAGCAAGGUACCUGCCGUCAGCAGAUUUGAGCUUUCUUCUUGGACACCUAAUACCCACAGUCCUCCAGGCUCCGGUAGAUUGCAAAUGACCUGCUUUCUUUCUGUUCCCGGGCUGCGUUCGGACCCCUGUCGGAUAGUAACUCCCAAAAAAACAAACAAAGACAUGGAUUUACUGUGCAUAUUAGCAGAUCCAUACUGGAAAAUGCAUGGAGGUUUCAUAUACACCACUUACAGGUUUCCAAAGCCACAAUUUCCUUCAUAUGUUCAAACUCUUCAGGAUGCAGAAAGGCAGUGAACUCCUCCGGAGUAGCUGUCAGGUCACCAUUGAGGUCUGCAGCUUUGAAUCUUCUCUCAUCACGUGGCAGCAUCUUUUUAAAGGUGUGAUGAUCUGAAGAAUCAUGAAACUCUGCGGGGUUUCCUAGGUUUUCAGCUCCUCAGUAGUGACAAAGCCAUACCCAUCAUUGUCGAUUCGAUCAACAAUCUUCCCUAGCCUCUCCUUGCUCUCGUCCGGGGUGAGCUCGUCGAAGUUCUUGGAGUCCUCCUUGCCCAGGAAGGCCUCGUGGUCGUACUGGAAGCUCUGGUUGUCCUCAGGGGGCCGCUCGCCCAGCUCCGAGUCGGGCCGCACCACGCGCUCUUUGCGCACCGUGGGCUUGGCCCGCAGAACCCGCGGCGCCAGCACCAGCGCCAGCAGCAGCCCCAGGGCUAACCCCAGGCGGCCACCGCGCGCCAUCGUCCCGAGGAGAGGGCGGCCGGGAGGGAGACGCUGAGCGAGCGACAACAGCGGCAGCUCGGGAAUGGGGGCUCGGAGCGCGGCGGCCAAGUUUUAUGUUAUGUAUAUUUUACAAGUAAAAAAAUUUUUUCACCUCAGCCUGA
rnacentral:lncRNA from 1 species